GCUAGUAAUCGCGCAUCAGCCACGGCGCGGUGAAUACGUUCCCGGGCCUUGUACACACCGCCCGUCAAGCCAUGGGAGCCGGGGGUACCUGAAGUGCGUAACCGCGAGGAUCGCCUAGGGUAAAACUGGUGACUGGGGCUAAGUCGUAACAAGGUAUC
rnacentral:rRNA from 1 species